UCGUUCGCAACGCGAUGUUUUGAAUACAUACAUUUUUUCCAUUCUCGCCAAGUGAAGUUCAUCCGCCAGACCGAAGAUUUUUAGUCGAACGUGCUAAAUCUAUGAAAUUAACUGUGUUUUAUGAAUCAAUUAGGGCGAGCGGAGCUGCAAAAUUAUCGAGUAGUGAUUCUCUUCUGAAGGCAACACAUUCGGUUUGGACUUGAAAGGAUAAACUUAGCGGAACGACGAACGGAGGAGUGGCGAGCUCCCUUUAAACGAAACGACAAAACCCAAAAACACUUGACACUCUAUACACUAUACACUAUAAACAAGCAGCUAUCAACUAACUAAAUUAAGCACGAAACCACUGUGGAAACCGUAGAUCCCCAGCCAUGACGACGGACAUUUCGAUUGUUCGCUGGGAUCCCAGCCAGGGUCCUGGCAACGAGUACAUCGAUGAGUACGAGUACGAUGGCGGCAACUCCAGUUCCCGACUGUUCGAGCGGUCCAGGAUCAAGGCUCUGGCCGAGGAGCGUGAGAGUGUGCAAAAGAAGACAUUCACCAAGUGGGUGAACUCGCAUCUGUGCCGGGUCAACUGCCGCAUUGCCGAUCUCUAUGUGGAUAUGCGGGAUGGCAAGCACCUGAUCAAACUGCUGGAGGUCCUCUCCGGCGAGCGACUGCCCAAGCCCACCAAGGGCAAGAUGCGUAUCCACUGCCUGGAGAACGUGGACAAGGCGCUGCAGUUCUUGCGCGAACAGCGCGUCCAUCUGGAGAAUAUUGGCUCCCAUGACAUAGUCGAUGGCAAUGCUUCCCUCAAUUUGGGCCUGAUUUGGACCAUCAUCCUGCGCUUCCAGAUCCAGGACAUCACCAUCGAGGAGGUGGACAACAAGGAGACCAAGUCGGCCAAGGACGCCCUGCUGCUCUGGUGCCAGAUGAAGACUGCCGGCUAUCACAAUGUGAACGUGCGCAACUUCACCACCUCGUGGCGCGAUGGCCUGGCCUUCAAUGCCAUCAUCCACAAACACCGUCCGGAUUUGGUUCAGUUCGAGAAGCUCUCGAAGACGAACGCCAUCCACAACCUGAACAAUGCCUUUGACGUGGCCGAGGACAAACUUGGCCUGGCCAAGCUCCUCGAUGCCGAGGAUGUGUUCGUCGAGCAUCCGGAUGAGAAGUCCAUUAUCACCUACGUGGUCACCUACUAUCACUACUUCAGCAAACUCAAGCAGGAGACGGUGCAGGGCAAGCGUAUCGGCAAGGUGGUUGGCAUUGCCAUGGAGAACGACAAAAUGGUUCACGACUACGAGCACUUCACCAGUGAUCUGCUCAAGUGGAUCGAAACGACCAUCCAGUCGCUGGGCGAGCGGGAGUUCGAAAACUCGCUGGCCGGCGUCCAAGGGCAAUUGGCCCAGUUCUCCAACUACCGCACCAUCGAGAAGCCGCCCAAGUUCGUUGAAAAGGGCAACCUGGAGGUGCUCCUGUUCACCCUGCAGUCCAAGAUGCGGGCCAACAACCAGAAGCCCUACACACCCAAAGAGGGCAAGAUGAUUUCGGACAUCAACAAGGCCUGGGAGCGAUUGGAGAAGGCGGAACACGAACGCGAAUUGGCCCUGCGCGAGGAGCUCAUCCGACAGGAGAAGCUGGAGCAGCUAGCCGCUCGCUUCGACCGCAAGGCGUCCAUGCGUGAGACCUGGUUGUCGGAGAAUCAACGUCUGGUCAGCCAGGAUAACUUCGGCUUCGAUCUGGCGGCCGUUGAGGCGGCGGCCAAGAAGCACGAGGCCAUCGAAACCGACAUCUUCGCCUACGAGGAGCGUGUCCAGGCCGUGGUUGCCGUUUGCGAUGAACUGGAAUCGGAGCGUUAUCACGAUGUGAAGCGCAUCCUGCUGCGCAAGGACAACGUUAUGCGCUUGUGGACCUAUCUGCUGGAGCUCCUGAGAGCGCGCCGCAUGCGCCUGGAGAUCUCGCUGCAACUGCAACAGAACUUCCAGGAGAUGCUUUAUAUCCUCGACAACAUGGAGGAGAUCAAGCAGCUGCUGAUGACCGACGACUACGGCAAGCAUUUGAUGGGCGUCGAGGAUCUGCUGCAGAAGCACUCACUUGUCGAGGCCGAUAUCAAUAUCCUGGGCGAGCGCGUCAAGGUAGUGGUUCAGAACUCGCAGAAGUUCUUGAGCGACGACCCAGAGUCGUACAAACCCUGCGAUCCCGAGAUCAUUGUGUCGCGCGUCCAGCAACUGGAGGAUGCCUACGCAGAGUUGGUCCGUUUGGCCGUGGAACGUCGCAGCCGACUGGAGGAGAGCCGCAAACUCUGGCAGUUCUACUGGGACACCGCCGACGAGGAGAACUGGAUCAAGGAGAAGGAACAGAUCGUCUCCACCGACGAGGUGGGUCAUGAUCUGACCACCGUCAAUCUGAUGCUCAGCAAGCACAAGGCCCUCGAGUCGGAGAUCACGUCGCACGAUCCCCAGCUGCAGAAUGUGGCCAAGGUCGGGUCGGAGCUGAUCACCGAGGGUCACUUUGGUGCCGAUCGCAUCAAGGAUCGAUUGAAGGAGAUCCUCAACAAGUGGGACCACCUUUUGGACCUCACCAAGUAUCGCCGUCAGCGCUUGGAGAACGCCGUCGAGUACUUCCAGCUGUUUGCCGAUGCCGAUGAUGUGGACAACUGGAUGUUGGACACCCUGCGCAUUGUUUCCAGCGAGGACGUUGGUCGCGACGAGGCCAACGUACAGUCCCUCCUAAAGAAGCACAAGGACGUGGCCGACGAGUUGAAGAACUACGCCGAAGUGAUCGAUGCCCUGCACAAACAGGCGGAGAGCCUAAAGCUUAACGAGGCGGAAAAGGCCAAUGUGGACAAGCGCCUGGAGUCGAUCGACAACCGGUACAAGGAGCUCACCGAGCUGGCCAAACUGCGCAAGCAGCGACUGCUCGACGCGCUCAGCCUGUACAAGCUGAUGUCCGAAGCGGAUGGCGUGGAGCAAUGGAUCAAGGAGAAGACAAAGAUGCUGGACACGAUGACUCCUGGCAAGGACAUCGAGGAUGUGGAGAUCAUGAAGCACCGCUUCGAGGGUUUCGACAAGGAAAUGAACGCCAAUGCCUCGCGCGUCGCCGUGGUUAAUCAACUGGCCCGCCAGUUGCUCCACGUCGAGCAUCCCAACUCCGAUGAGAUACUGGAGAGGCAGAACCACCUCAACCAGGAGUGGUCUACCCUGCGGGAGAAGGCCGAGGCCAAGAUGGAUGAUCUGAAGUCCGCUCAUGGCGUCCAGACCUUCUACAUUGAGUGCCGCGAGACCAUUUCGUGGAUUGAGGACAAGAAGCGCAUCCUCACCGAAACCGACAGCCUGGAGAUGGAUCUGACCGGUGUGAUGACCCUGCAGCGUCGCCUCAGCGGCAUGGACCGCGAUUUGGCCGCCAUUCAGGCCAAGCUCUCGAGCUUGGAACGCGAGGCCAACAGCAUCGAGGAUGAGCAUCCUGAGGAGGCCAAGAUCAUCCGCGAGCGCAUUGCCCAGAUCGAGUUGAUUUGGGAGCAGCUCACCCAGAUGCUCAAGGAGCGCGAUUCGAAACUGGAGGAGGCCGGCGAUCUGCAUCGCUUCCUGCGCGAUCUCGAUCACUUCCAGACUUGGUUGACCAAGACCCAGACAGACGUCGCUUCCGAGGAUACUCCCACUUCCCUGCCGGAGGCUGAGAAGCUUCUAAAUCAACAUCAAUCGAUCCGCGAGGAGAUUGACAACUACACUGAGGACUACAAGAACAUGAUGGAGUACGGCGAGCAGCUGACCUCCGAGGGAAGCACCUCAGACGAUCCGCAGUACAUGUUCCUGAGGGAGCGCCUGAACGCCCUGAAGGAUGGCUGGGAGGAGCUGCACCAGAUGUGGGAGAACAGGCAGGUGCUGUUGUCGCAGAGCUUGGACCAGCAGCUGUUCAACCGCGAUGCCCGCCAGACGGAGGUGUUGCUCAGCCAGCAGGAGCACUUCCUCAGCAAGGACGAUACCCCAGUCAACCUGGAGCAGGCUGAGAACCAGCUGAAGCGCCACGAGGCCUUCCUCACAACCAUGGAGGCCAACGACGACAAGAUCAACACCCUGCUGCAGGUGGCCGACACCCUGGUGGAGAAGGAUCACUUCGAUGCGGACAAGAUUGGCAAGCGUGCGGAGAACAUUACCGGACGUCGGGAUGACAACCGUCAGCGUGCUCUGGACCAACACGAGAAGCUCAAGAAUCAGGUGAAACUGCACGAGUUCCUGCAGGAUCUCGAGGAGCUGGCCGAGUGGGUGCAGGAGAAGUACGCCACCUCACAGGACGAGUCGUACAGGAGCGCAAAGACCAUCCACUCCAAGUGGACGCGCCAUCAGGCCUUCGAGGCGGAGAUUGCCGCCAACAAGGAGCGUCUAUUCGAGGCAGAGAAGUCCGCCCAGGAGCUGUCCAAGGAGAAGCCCGAGUUCAAGGACGUCAUCGAGCCCAAGCUUAAGGAGCUGGCCAAGCAGUUCGACGACCUGGAGGUGCACACCAAGGAAAAGGGCGCCAUGCUGUUCGACGCCAACCGCGAGGUGCUUGUCCAGCAGACAUGCGACGACAUCGACUCCUACAUCACCGACCUGGAGAAGCAGAUUGUCAGCGGAGACACUGCCAACGAUCUGACAUCCGUGAACAUCCUGAUGCAGAAGCAGCAGGUUAUCCAGACCCAGAUGGCGGUGAAGGCUCGCCAAGUGGAGGAGAUCGACAAGCAGACCGAAUACCUCCAGAAGACUGUGCCCGAGGAGAAGAUCGAACCGAUUGUGGUGAAGAAGACGGCCGUGCUCGAGCGCUUCGAAAAGAUCAAGGCGCCGCUCCUGGAGCGCCAAAAGGCGUUGGAGAAGAAGAAGGAGGCCUUCCAGUUCUGUCGCGAUGUCGAGGACGAGAAGCUCUGGAUCGACGAGAAGCUGCCGGUAGCCAACUCACCAGAUUACGGCAACUCCCUGUUCAACGUGCAUGUGCUGAAGAAGAAGAACCAGUCGCUGGCCACAGAGAUCGACAACCACGAGCCGCGCAUCAAUGCCAUCUGCAACAAUGGCCGCAAGCUGAUCGACGAGGGCCACGAGGAUGCCAAGAAGUUCGAGGCACUGAUCAGCGAUCUGACUCAGAAGUGGCAGGAGCUUAAGGACGCCAUCGAGAACCGACGGAAGCAUCUGCUGGAGUCGGAGAAGGUGCAGCAGUACUUCUUCGAUGCCCAGGAGGCGGAGUCCUGGAUGAGCGAGCAGGAGCUCUACAUGAUGGUCGAGGAUCGCGGCAAGGACGAGAUCAGUGCCCAGAACCUGAUGAAGAAGCACGAAAACCUAGAGCAAUCCGUGGAGGACUACGCCAACACCAUUCGCCAGUUGGGCGAGGUGGCGCGUCAGUUCAGCGGGGAUGACAUCUCCUCCGGCGAUGCCGUGGCCGUCAAGCAAUCGCAGCUGGAUAAGCUCUAUGCUGGACUCAAGGAUCUGGCUGGCGAGAGGAGGGCUCGCCUCAACGAGGCUCUGCAGCUGUUCAUGCUGAGCCGCGAGGUCGACGAUCUGGAGCAAUGGAUCACCGAUCGCGAGGUUGUGGCCGGUUCCCAGGAACUGGGCCAGGACUUUGAUCACGUCACCCUGCUGUCGGAGCGCUUCAAUGAGUUUGCCCGUGACACGGAAGCCGUUGGCGGCGAGCGAGUGGCCAAGGUGAACGGCAUUGCCGAUAAUCUCAUCCAGGCCGGACACUCUGAUUCCGCCACCAUUGCCGAAUGGAAGGACAACCUCAACGAAUCGUGGCAGGAUCUGCUGGAGCUGAUCGAGACCCGCACCCAGAUGCUGGCCGCUUCCCGGGAGCUGCACAAAUUCUUCCACGACUGCAAGGAUGUGUUGGGUCGCAUCCUGGAGAAGCAGCACGGUGUGUCCGAUGAACUGGGACGCGAUGCCGGCUCCGUGUCGACGCUGCAGCGCAAGCACUACAACUUCCUGCAAGACCUCACCACCCUAUACUCACAAGUGCAGCAGAUUCAGGAAGAGUCUGCCAAGCUGCAGGACGCCUAUGCUGGUGACAAGGCCAAGGAGAUCACCAAUCGGGAACAGGAGGUGCUCCAUGCCUGGGACAAUCUUCAGGCGAUGUGCGAUGCCCGCAAACAGAAACUGGCCGACACCGGCGACUUAUUCCGCUUCUUUAACAUGGUGCGCAUCCUGAUGAUCUGGAUGGAGGACCUCGUCCGCCAAAUGAACACGUCAGAGAAGCCGCGCGACGUGUCCGGCGUGGAGCUGCUGAUGAACAACCACCAGAGCCUUAAGGCCGAGAUCGACACACGGGAGGACAACUUCGGUGCGUGCAUCUCGCUGGGCAAGGAGCUGCUCACCCGCAACCACUACGCCUCCGCUGACAUCAAGGAUCGCCUGAUGACGCUGAGCAAUAGCCGCAAUGCCCUGCUUCGCCGCUGGGAGGAGCGCUGGGAGAAUCUCCAGCUGAUCCUGGAGGUGUACCAGUUCGCCAGAGACGCUGCCGUGGCCGAGGCCUGGCUGAUCGCCCAGGAGCCUUACCUGCUCUCCUCGGAGCUGGGCCACACAAUCGACGAGGUCGAGAACCUGAUUAAGAAGCACGAGGCCUUUGAAAAGUCUGCCGCCGCCCAAGAGGAGCGCUUCAGUGCUCUUGAGCGUUUGACAACAUUUGAGCUUAAGGAAAUGAAGAGGCGCCAGGAGCUGGCGGAGGAGGCGGAGCGACAACGCAUCAAGGAGGAGCAGGAGGCCAAGGCCGCCUCAGAGGCGGCGGAACAGGCCAAACGAGAGGCUGAGCGACGCGACGACGUGGAUGUUGGAGCCUCGCACGACGAUUCAGCCGCAGUGUCAAGAUCCCAGUCAAGAUAGCACUCAAGAUCCUGCUGCAAAUCUCGUCUAACCAAAAUCUCUCUUAACGUUUUCUGUCAUUCAAUCAUGCCUACUUAACCAAACUCAAACCAAUCUCAUCUUGCCACGGAUUAACCAACUAACCAAUCAACUUAAACCCAUGAAGCGGCCAAAGACACGGCCGUCGAGUUCGAGCGCGUUGUCGAGAUCCAAACAGAACGAGGUGCAACCCC
rnacentral:misc_RNA from 1 species